CUCAAUAAUCAGCAGCGGCGGCAGGAGGAGGAGCCGCAUCUUCUGGCAGCGGCUGCUACCUGGGGAAGGUUUAGCAUCAACCCUUCAGUGGUUCCCGCCCCAGCCUGCCUUCCCAAAGAGCUCAGUCCAGUCACAACUUCCGACAGCGAGGGAAGGCGUUCGGCCCGCCUUUUGUUUUCAGAGCAACGCUCCGCGCUGUUUACGGACUCUCGCUGUUUGGGAGCCAUCUUGUGAUAUCAGACCUCUUAAAACAAAAACACAUAAUGCUUUCCGCUUGCAACUUAAUUUUCUUAAUGGACCUCAUUUCCUGCCUUGUACAUCUUUCCACGAGAUGCCUCUUGACCGGUUAGAAGUUUAGGUCGAUUAUUGACCAAACGGAUUGCGAAGGGAUUUGAAAGGUUUCAAGAACCAGGACGAAGCAUGUCAACUGGAUCUUCACGUGGAUGAGUGUGAGAAUGCAUAGCUCAAGGGAUCUGUCCUCAACUCCUGAUAUGCGAGUGAAUGUCGACAUGAUGUUAUUGGAAUUGCGCAUCGCCUCAGCCUCACAGAUCGAUGACUUAAGACAGCAGCUUCAAAAGCUAAGAACACACUUUCAUCCUAGGAAUGAGUGAAAAACAUAGAAUGCAUAUAUUGUGAAUUUGCAAAAACACCACUGCAUACUGAUACAUUCCAGACUGUCUCCCAAUGAAGGAACACCACGAAAAACCAGGGAGGGUUACAGACAGAAAAUUGCUUUAUAGGAAAAAUUAGUGAAAGUCAAAAUAAAGGUAUAAUAAUACAAUGAUUAAAAGAAGCAACCAGUUGAGACAUAAACCACUGUAGCCUAUAUUUCUAGUUAUAAUGCCAUUUUGAACAGAGUAACUUGAAACAGGCUGGCUUGUCGCCCAAUGUGAUGUUCAUGACCAAAUAUCAGCUGUGUUGGUUCUUUUACCACAAAUUUAAGAUGUAGAAUCAGAAGCAUGCCAUUCCAAUGACAUCAAGGAUGAACUGAUUAUCCUAAUUUCUACUGUCCUGCUAUUUCCCCAUUACCCUUGUUACCCUUACUGAUUAAAAAUUUGCCUACCUCAGCCUUGAAUAUACUCAAUGACACAGCCUCAACAGGGGUCUGUGGUAAAGAAUUCCACAAAUUCACUACUUCUGAGAGAAGAAAUUCCUCCUUGUGUCUGUCUUAAAAAGGUGACUUGUUCUGAGAUUAUGUCCUCUGGUCUUGCACUCUUCCAUAAGGGGAAACAACCUUUCCACAUUUACCUGUCAAGGCACCUAAGAACCUUGUAUGUUUCAAAGAGGUCACCUUUCAUUCUUCUAAAUUAGAAUGACUACAGGCCCAACCUAUUCAACGUCUUCUUAUAGGACAUUCCCUUUAUACGUGGGAUUGGCCUAGUGAGCCGUCUUUGGACUGCCUCCCCUUAUACAGGGCCUAAACACGGGGAGGUGAUGGCCUAGUGGUAUUAUCAUCAGGCUAUUAAUCCAGAAACUCUGGUAAUGCCCUGGGUACACAUGUUUGAAUCCUGCAGAUGGUAGAAUUUGAAUUCAGUGAAAAAAAAUCUAGAAUUAAGAGCCUAAUGAUGACCACAAAUCCAUUGUUAAUUGUUUGAAAAACCCAUCUGGUUCACUAAUGUCCUUCAGGGAAGAAGGACAUUAGUGAACCAGAUGGGUUUUACUGGUCCUUACCUGGUCUAUGACUCCAGGUCCAUUGCAAUGUGGUUAACUCUUAACAAUUGGGGUUGGGUAUUAAAUGCUGUCCCUGACAACAACACCCAUAUCUCAGGAAUGAAUAAAUAAAACAAAAAAUGUUCAUAAUAAUUCAUCUGUGUUCUGAUCAGGGCCUUGUACAGUUUUAGCAAGACUUUCCAAUUUUAGAUUUCAUUCCCUUUGAAGUAAAGGCAAAUAUUCCACUUACCUUCCCUGUUACCUGCUGAACUUGGAUGCUCGGUGUUUGAGAUUUAUGCGAAGAUUCCUAAUUCCUUCUGUGCUGUAGCUUUCUGCAGUCUUUCUCCAUUUAAAUAAUAUUCAGCUUCUGUACUCUUCCUGCCAAAAUGCAUAACCUCACACUGUGCUGGAUGCUGAGGAACUUGGAAAAUGGAGGAAGUCUCCUGAGAAAGAACAGAACAAUGUUGGGGAAAAGGAAGAUGUCCUUGACCAUGACAAAACUCAGCUGUGUCAGGUGCUACAAACCAACCAGAGGCUCAUUGACAUCUACUUCCAAUGGAUGUGAGCAGAAUAUUUGUGAAAUGUAAAAUAUUAAUUGGUUAUGAUGUAGAAGUCUGCUUGGUAUUGUUUGGACAAAUUUUAAUCUUCAUGUGGUCUGUCUAUAUUCACAUUUGCUUCUGCAAAUAAAAGUUUGACCUUGGA